AAACGGAGGGUGCGAGCGUUAAUCGGAAUUACUGGGCGUAAAGGGUGCGUAGGCGGCUUGAUAAGUCGGAUGUGAAAGCCCCGGGCUUAACCUGGGAAUUGCAUUCGAUACUGUCAGGCUAGAGUAUGUCAGAGGUUGGCGGAAUUCCUGGUGUAGCGGUGAAAUGCGUAGAUAUCAGGAGGAACACCAGUGGCGAAGGCGGCUAACUGGGGCAAUACUGACGCUGAGGCACGAAAGCGUGGGGAGCAAACAGGAUUAGAAACCCUAGUAGUCC
rnacentral:rRNA from 1 species